UACGUAGGUGGCAAGCGUUAUCCGGAAUUACUGGGCGUAAAGCGCACGCAGGCGGUCUUUUUAAGUUUUGACGUGAAAAGCUCUCGGGCUUAACUGGGAGAGGUCGUUGAAUACUGGGGAGACUUGAGGAAAUGAGAGGGGUGUAGAAUUCCUGGUGUAGUGGUGGAAUGCGUAGAUAUCAGGAGGAAUACCAGUGGCGAAAAGCGGCACCCUAGCAUUUUUUUUCUGACGCUCAUGUGCGAAAAGCGUGGGGAGCGAACGGGG
rnacentral:rRNA from 1 species